rnacentral:pre_miRNA from 1 species
AGGUCACAAGCCCCCUGAGGUCACGUGACCUCGGGGUGGGGUCACGUGACCUCAGGGUGUGGUUACGUGACCCCGGGGGGUCACGUGACCUAGGGGGUCACGUGAC